rnacentral:rRNA from 1 species
UACGGGGGGAGCAAGCGUUGUUCGGAUUUACUGGGCGUAAAGGGCGCGUAGGCGGCCACCGCAAGUCGACUGUGAAAUCUCCGGGCUUAACCCGGAAAGGUCAGCCGAUACUGCGGGGCUAGAGUGCAGAAGGGGCAACUGGAAUUCUCGGUGUAGCGGUGAAAUGCGUAGAUAUCUGGAGGAACACCGGUGGCGAAGGCGGCAUUCUGGACCGAAACUGACGCUGAGGCGCUAAAGCCAGGGGAGCAAACGGG